rnacentral:rRNA from 1 species
GCAAGUCGAACGGCAGCAUGACAUAGCUUGCUCUGUUGAUGGCGAGUGGCGGACGGGUGAGUAACACGUAGGAAUCUAUCCAGUAGCGGGGGAUAACGUGGGGAAACUCACGCUAAUACCGAAUACGCACUACGGUGGAAAGAGGGGGAUCUUCGGACCUCUCACUAUCGGGUGAGCCUAAGCCGGAUUAGUUAGUUGGUGGGGUAAUGGCCCACCAAGACGACGAUCCGUAGCUGGUCUGAGAGGACGAUC